UACGGAAGAUGCGAGCGUUAUCCGGAUUUAUUGGGUUUAAAGGGAGCGUAGGCGGGUUUUUAAGUCUGCGGUCAAAUGUCGGCGCUCAACGCCGGCCUGCCGUGGAAACUGGGAGCCUUGAAUGUGCACAAGGAAGGUGGAGUUCGUGGUGUAGCGGUGUAAUGCUUAGAUAUCACGAAGAACUCCGAUUGCGAAGGCAUCCUUCUGGGGCAUGAUUGACGCUGAGGCUCGAAAGCGCGGGUAUCAAACA
rnacentral:rRNA from 1 species